UAACGGCGAGUGAAGCGGUAAAAGCUCAAAUUUGAAAUCUGGUACUUUCAGUGCCCGAGUUGUAAUUUGUAGAAUUUGUCUUUGAUUAGGUCCUUGUCUAUGUUCCUUGGAACAGGACGUCAUAGAGGGUGAGAAUCCCGUUUGGCGAGGAUACCUUUUCUCUGUAAGACUUUUUCGAAGAGUCGAGUUGUUUGGGAAUGCAGCUCAAAGUGGGUGGUAAAUUCCAUCUAAAGCUAAAUAUUGGCGAGAGACCGAUAGCGAACAAGUACAGUGAUGGAAAGAUGAAAAGAACUUUGAAAAGAGAGUGAAAAAGUACGUGAAAUUGUUGAAAGGGAAGGGCAUUUGAUCAGACAUGGUGUUUUUUGCAUGCACUCGCCUCUCGUGGGCUUGGGCCUCUCAAAAAUUUCACUGGGCCAACAUCAAUUCUGGCAGUAGGAUAAAUCAUUAAGAAUGUAGCUACCUCGGUAGUGUUAUAGCUUAUUGGAAUACUGCUAGCUGGGAUUGAGGACUGCGCUUCGGCAAGGAUGUUGGCAUAAUGGUUAGAUGCCGCCCGCCUUGAAACACGGAACAGAAA
rnacentral:rRNA from 1 species